rnacentral:rRNA from 1 species
UACGAAGGGGGCUAGCGUUGCUCGGAAUCACUGGGCGUAAAGCGCACGUAGGCGGAUUGUUAAGUCAGGGGUGAAAUCCUGGAGCUCAACUCCAGAACUGCCUUUGAUACUGGCGAUCUUGAGUCCGGGAGAGGUGAGUGGAACUGCGAGUGUAGAGGUGAAAUUCGUAGAUAUUCGCAAGAACACCAGUGGCGAAGGCGGCUCACUGGCCCGGUACUGACGCUGAGGUGCGAAAGCGUGGGGAGCAAAC